rnacentral:lncRNA from 1 species
CAAAGAGAAUGCAUGCAGUCAUUUUGUAUGUUUUCUGCAACUUCUUUUAAGUAUUAGAGUGAGUGAAUGAAAGUGUGAAAUUCAAUCAGAAUCUUGAUCAUAAUGCCAUUACUCAUGGUUUAUGUACUAAUUUUAUGAAACAAAAAAUAAGUAGACAAGUUUGUCAUGGUCAUACAUAAAUGCACAGAAAGAAGUAAAAGAGCUGGGAGCUUUAUUAUCCUGAUACUACUAGUCUCAUCAUAUGCUGUCAAGAAAUUUUCCAGGCAAAACAAAAUGGAAAAUAAUGUAAACAAGGCAAAAACAACACAAUGCUGCAUGCAUAGCAAAUUUGGUUUUUCUCCUUAUCUACUUAUUCAGGUUAAUUAUAGUCUUAAUAAUUUUCCUAAACAACCAUAUCAAAACCAGCUGUUUCCUUUGCCCAUUACAGCUUGGUAAUGAGGAAUAACAUUGACCUCUCCAGCUGCCUUGAGAGACGAAAUGUGGCAACUUCACACAUUGAUGAGGAUGCUACUGCUCUGAUUUCAUCAUCCCUGAAAUCCUUUUCUUCCUCAGCUAUGGUAGCUAGCAUUUUUCUCGGUGGACGCUUGACGACUGAGAUAAGCUGAGGAGGAGCAACUUCGGUCGUGAACCUUUCAUGGUUUUGAAACUUACCCAUUGUUUGUUCCAUAGAACAGGU